CCGGCGGGUCGGGUAGCCGCGGUAGUCCGCCUUGAGCGGAUUACCGAGGAAAGUCCGGGCUCCACAGAGCGCGGUACCGGGUAAUCCCCGGGACCGGGCGCUCCUCAGGGAGCGUUCGGGACAGAACGUGCCACAGAAACGAUACCGCCACUGGAUCUGCCUUCGGGCAGUCCAUGGGUAAGGGUGAAAUGGUGGGGUAAGAGCCCACCGGUUGUCGGGUAACCGGCAACGCCGUGGUAAACCUUACCGGGAGCAAAGCCAAGCAGCGAACCCGGCUGCUCGUCGAAUGGUUCGCGGGUAGGCUGCACGAGCGAUUCGGCAACGAAUGGCCAAGACAGAUGGCUGCCCAGACGGUAUCGGCAACGGUAUCGUCGGACAGAACCCGGCUUACAGACCCGCCGGUUCG
rnacentral:RNase_P_RNA from 1 species